UAGACAUAUGCACUUUGCGGUAUUUCUGUAGCCUACACGCAGGAGACCCAGUUUAUAGGCAUUCUGUAAGCUAGCUCUAGAGUAAGCCAUUUGCAGUUCUGCAUCCUGAGUGUAGUAGACAUAGUUAUGGGAGUUCUGUUGCUUGGGAGUAGACAUACGCAGUACGUGCGCUUUCUAUAGCUUGAAUGUAGGAGACGCAGUAUAAAGCAAUUCUGUAAGCUGAGUGUACACAGAGGCUGUUUACAGGUUUUCUGCAGCCUGAGUGUAGUAGACACACUUUGUGGGAAUUCUGCAGCUUGGGAAUAGGCAUACACAGUAUACGGGUUUUCUGUAGCCUGAAUGUAGGAGACGCAGCAUAAAGCAGUUCUGUAAGCUGGGUGUACCGAGAGGCUGUGUACAGGUUUUCUGCAGCCUGAGUGUAGUAGACACAGUUUAUGGGAGUUCUGUAAAUUCUGAGACGGCUUAUGCACUCUUCAGGAUGUUUGUGGCAUGACUAUAGGAAAACACUUUACGGGAGAUUUGUAACAUGGAUGUAGAGAGACACAGAUCGCAGCAGUUCUCCAGCCUGAAUGUAAAGACACAGUUUGUGGGAGUUCUGUUGCUUCCGAGUAGGCAUAUGCAGUAUGCGCGCUUUCUGUAGCCUGAAUGUAGGAGAUGCGGCAUAAAGCAGUUCUCUAAGCUGGGUGUACAGAGAGGCUGUUUACAGGAGUUCUGCAGCCUGAGUGUAGUAGACACACUUUGUGGGAAUUCUGCAGGUUGGGAGUAGGCAUACGCAGUAUGCGCACUUUCUGUAGCCUGAAUAUAGGAGAUGCAGCAUAAAGCAGUUCUGUAAGCUGGGUGUACCGAGAGGCUGUGUACAGCAAUUCUGUAGCCUGAAUGUAAGAGAAUCACUUUAUGGGAGUUCUGUAGGUUCUGACUAGGCAUAUGCACUUUGCGGUAUUUCUGUAGCCUACACGCAGGAGACCCAGUUUAUAGGCAUUCUGUAAGCUAGCUCUAGAGUAAGCCAUUUGCAGUUCUGCAGCCUGAGUGUAGUAGACACAGUUUAUGGGAGUUCUGUAAAUUCUGAGACGGCUUAUGCACUCUUCAGGAUGUUUGUGGCAUGACUAUAGGAAAACACUUUACGGGAGAUUUGCAACAUGGAUGUAGAGAGACACAGGUCGCAGCAGUUCUGCCGCCUGAAUGUAUAAGACACAGUUUAUGGGAGUUCUGUGGCUUGGGAGUGAGCAUAAGCAGUAUGCGCGCUUUCUGUAGCCUGAAUGUAGGACAUGCAGCAUAAAGCAGUUCUCUAAGCUGGGUGUACCCAGAUGCUGUUUACAGGAGUUCUGCAGCCUGAGUGUAGUAGACACACUUUGUGGGAAUUCUGCAGGUUGGGAUAGGCUUACGCAGUAUACGGGUUUUCUGCAGCCUGAGUGUACGAGAUGCAGCUUACCGGAGUUCUGUAUGCUGGCUGAACAGAGAGGCAGUUUACAGGAGUUCUACAGCCUGAGUGUAGUAGACACACUUUGUGGGAAUUCUGUAGCUUGGGAGUAGGCAUACGCAGUAUGCGCACUUUCUGUAGCCUGAAUAUAGGAGAUGCAGCAUAAAGCAGUUCUGUAAGCUGGGUUACAGAGAGGCUGUUUACAGGAGUUCUGCAGCCUGAGUGUAGUAGACACACUUU